CAGAGAACUUGCCCUUCGGGGUAGAUCUCCCAACCCUUUGUUUAACAUUCCUUUGUUGCUUUGGCAGGCCAGGCAAUAGUCUACCGGCUUAGGCUGGCUAGUGCCUGCCAGAGGACCCAAACUCUUUAAUAAUGUCCGUCUGAGUACUAUAAAAUAGAUAA
rnacentral:misc_RNA from 1 species